AUGGAGGGAAAAGCUAUUCUUCUUUGCCUUAUGGUGCUUGUGCAGCUAGGAAAUUCCGUUCAUGUUGACAAAUGUAGGGCGGUAAUUGCCUUUUCAGGCACCACAUGCAUUGAACUAUCUUGCAUAUUGGCCUGCCAGAAGUCCUUCGGAGAUCACGCCAUAAACUCGGCAUGUAGGCUCGUUGGCCUAGCCACUCUGAAUUGUUACUGCAAGGUCUGUUUCUAG
rnacentral:rRNA from 1 species